rnacentral:tRNA from 1 species
GCCGGAAUAGCUCAGUUGGUAGAGCAACGCAUUCGUAACGCGUAGGUCAGAGGUUCGAUUCCUCUUUCCGGCA